GUCUGUCCAUUGCCAGGCACUGGGACAGAUAAAGUAUGUGCGUUCCAUUGUCACCACUCCACCACCUCUUGUCAGCCCCUUUACCCAUAGGAGGAAACAAGAGAAGGGACCUGGCCAAGGUCACAUGCCUGUCACAGACCGAGGCUGUGCUUCAGAAUCCAGAUGUGCCUGACCCCAGAGUCUGUGCUCCCAGAUGCUGGUCUUACUGUUGAGAACUUAGGAAAGAGCUUGGCUACUUUGUUUUGCUUUCAUAUUUUUUUCUUUUUUCUCCCCGGUUCAUUUAUCUUAAGGGUACUAACAUAUAUUUGUGAGUUGUUUUUUAAACUUCGAGCCUUGAUAUUUACUGCUUGGCCACCGUUUAAAAAAUCGAGGUAGUAAAUAGUACACACACUUGAUAAAGAAAUCUCAAAUAAUAAGUAAAGUCUCAUGUAGUUCUAGCUCUCUACCCCAGAUCUGUUCCAUGCCUGAAGGAAACAGAGUUCACUUUAGGCUUAAGCACCAAGAGGCCAUCUCAUGGGCAGAGGGUGAGUCAUUCCCAUGUAAAUCCUUUAUCAGAGUCGGGGUAUCCACAAAGGAACUUCAAAGCAGGAGGGAGCGGGUCCAGAGGAAGCACCUCACAAACAUACGCCAGCCUAGAGUUCUAGAUCAUUAUCUGUCAUCUGAUUGGGUAUCCCACAUGUAAAUCCAACAUCCCCAAAUGAAAUGAUAUCCCUCUUAUUUUUCCUUUAUGGCCACUCCAUGUGGCAUGCCAGAUCUUCCUUCCCUGAUCAGGGACUGAACCCGCAUCCCGGUGCAAUGGAAGCAUGGAGUCUUAACUGGCUGGGCCACCAGGGAAGCCCCUGUAUCCCUCUUCAGUCUGACCCUCCUCUCUUCCCUCUUACAGACAGCUUCUCACCCAGGACCAGUAGCCCCAAGCCAUGAACUUGAGAGACACCCCAGACUCUCACUUCCUCUGUCAUCUGACCACCUGCUAUUUUUAUCCCCAGAGUAUUUUUGCAAUCUGUCUCCUCUUCAUCCCAACCCUCAAAUCUGCAUCUUUCUCUUGGGCUCUUCUAGUACCCAACACUUUCAUCCCGUUCAGUUUACCCUUUGCACAGCCAGCCGCCAACCACUGAGCUCAAGUAUAGUUGGCUGCAUCUACUCUGGGAAAUUGUGUGCCUACUGCCUGUAAGUUCCUUAGACAAGUGAGGCCCUGCUUCGUGACCUCAUUCCAGCCACAGCUUUAACCAGAGGCCACCCCACCCAGGAUUUCACCCUCCAGUCAACCCCUGCCUGAACCAAUGGCAUUUCACCUGUGUGCACGUGGUGCUUGUGGCCCCUGCCCCUGCUACGGGGCUGACCCCGGCGGAGCCUUAGAACACGGCCCAGGCUUCACUGGCUGCGAAUGCCUUUCCCAAACCUCGGCUCCUAAUGAACCACUCCCAGUUUUCACAGAUUUCUUACUUUUUACACAAAAUGUGUUUAUAUUUAGAAAACACUGAUAAACAAAAAUAAGCCAAGUUAUUUCUACCACAUGGUGGUAAUCUAGCAUUUUGGUAUGUGUUGUAUGGAAGUGGAAUCCUGCUGUUUAUAGUCUGUUUUGUGGCUCAGCUGGUCAAGAAUCCACCAGCAAUGCGGGAGACCUGGGUUUGAUCCCUGGGCUGGGAAGAUCCUCUGGAGAAGGGAAAGGCUACCCACUCCAGUGUUCUGGCCUGGAGAAUUCCAUGGACUGUAUAGUCCAGGGGGUUGCAAAGAGUGGGACACAACUGAGCAACUUUCACUUUCCAGAUAAAAGACCAAUUUUUCAUUGUGUAAAAUUGUUCCCAUUUAACCAAUCCCACACUGUUGGAUAUCCAGCUGAAUGCCAUCCAUAUACUUUUUGUUAUACAUAUCAUGUUAUCUUCUCUUUAACAAACUUCAAACAGGAUAGCUGACAGGCUGUCACUUAGUCACCACUUGUUAACACUGUGCUACCGUCUCUUUUGUUUCUGAACCAUUCAAAAAUUACCUGGAGGGACUUCCCUGGUGGUCCAGUGGCGAAGGCUUCGAGCUCGCAGUGCCAGGGGCCCAAGUUCAAUACCUGAUCAGGGAACUACAUCCCACAUGCCACAACUAACACCCUGAGCAGCCAAAUAAACAAAGUCACCUGCAGACAUCUUGGUGCUUCACUUCUGAGUUCUCCUGAGAAUAAGCAUGUGAGAUUAAGACCGCCUCUGAUCUGGAGAUGCCUCAAGCCAACUUAUCAACAGUGACUAGAAAAGGUUUCCAAACCACAAACAAAAGGGAAGAAGCAAAAAGGACUAAAGAGAAAGAGGGAGAAGACAUGAGUUAAUACUGGAGACCCCAAAACAGGCAAAAGGUGCCACAGGGAGAAACCUGGGGAGAGCGCUACUGUGGAGAAGGCUGUAGGGCGGCGUGUCUUCCUCUUUGCACCCAGUCAUUAGUUUUUCCCUAGAAAGCUAUCACAGUAUUUCAUUAUCACUACGAUUAACGCCGACCAGUAUUUUGAGAGCUUACAAGCACCGCGCUCGGUAUUCUACCAGCAUGAUCUCCUCUAAACAUCGUUGGAACUUCACAAGGUAAGAGUUUUACGAUUCGGACUGAGGCUGGGCGACGGUACCUGGUUUGUCCGAAGUUCUGGUCAGAGGCAACCUGCAUUCGAACCCCGGGGUGUUUGACUCCAGCUCUGUGCUCUUGUUCACAAUCUCUAGGUCACCCGAGUGCCGGCAGGGGUCAACCAAGCACCGUUAGGCAGUGGGAGAGGGAGCGAGCAGUUGUCCCCUGGUCACCCCCACCAACAGGAGCCACAGUAGCCACGGCCCCGCGGCCUGGCCCCUUCCCUCUCACCCGAGUGGGCCCGACGCCCGACCCCAGCCAAGCCCCCCCCAACAAAGUCAC